UCACUCCGCGCCCCACCUCUUUCCCCCGGACUGGGCUCCCAGGUACUCCUACAAGGAGGGCCUGCAGCUCCAGAUCCUCCUCCGCAGACUUCUGUCCCUGCUACUUAGACCGCUUAGCCUCGAACAGGGAGAGAGUCCUGUCAAACGUAGAACCACACCAAGCUGGAACUGGAAAUCUCCAAGUCUGCAAAUUGCUUAGCAGGGAGGAAUCUGGCGUUCAGAGAGAGACAGGCUCAAAGUAGAGCAGGAGGGCCUGAAACUGAUCAUUGUGUAGUCACGUUAGUUCUUCAAAAGGCAGACUUUCAACCAGAGGAUUCACAGCCUGGCCAAGUCUCCUCAGGAAUGACAGUGGCAUCUUCAUUUCCUGCUUCCGUGACUGGUUUUGCUCACAUGGCCAGGCCCUCACGCCUUCAGGCUCAUUCAGGAGCUCCUUUUGGGUCCAGAUCAAGCUUCUCAUUUGGAUCUGGGUUCUCCAGCCCCCGGGGCCAAAGACCUGGCUUUGGGGGCAGACUGGACUGAAUCAGAACCUGGACGACUUCCUCAACUUCUUUCUGACUCCUGUCUACAGAUAGGUGACUUUCUGCUCGGCUUCUCCUUUGAGCAAAGUGACUGGAGGGAGAAACUUCCACAGUAGGAAAGCACGUGUUCUCGAGCACAGAAUCAUUGCCCAUGUGGUAGAAGGCUGAGGAACCGAAACGAACUGGAACGUUCUGGGCCAGGAGAAGACGGAAUUCAGAGAGAAGCAAGAAGAAGCUCAGGAGAAUCAAGGUCACGGCAACUGUGAUGUAUUUCCACAGGCAGUGAUGCGUGCUGCCGGGGCCCCGAGCAGCUCUGCAGGGACGUGGCAGGUGUGGUGCUGCGUCCUCUGCUCCCACUUCCUUCCCCCCUCCUCCCCGACGCCACUGCCAAACGACUUCCCUAGCCUUUCCCACCGACGUCGACCUCCCCCCUGCGUGUAGCCCCCUCAGGGAAGACAAAGGCCAGGAAGGUUGGUUCUGUUCGGCCUCCACCUUCCUCACCUCCCGUCUGGGCUUCCAGGUGAGACUGGAGCAGCUUCUGUCACUUACCCACUCUUGGAGCAGAGACCCAGCCAGAAGGAUGUAUCACCAAGAAGAGGAAAGCAAGGGUUCGGUAUUAAUCAACCUCAGACCUUAAACUCAAGCCAGAGUCUCCACUUGGGUGUUACUGGCCACUAAAUUGGGUCUUGUCUGUUGGUUCCCACUUACUUUUGUGUCUGAUCCUUCCCAGGAUUAUGGUUGGCAGAUUAUGAGGUUAUGAAUCAAGUCAGAGAAACAAAGGGAAACUAGUUAGUAUGUGUCUCUCUCCCACCCUGGACUGGUCAGAAGGACGGAAACCUAAAAAUGGCUGGAAAUUCCUAAUCAUGUGACGUCUUGACAGGGUUUAGAGUGUUACCUCCGUUGGAGUUUUUUGUCUAAAAUGUGGCUUGAGGGUUUAUCAGAGAGCAGGGAUUUCUAUGAAAUCAAGGAGAAAAAACUUUAACGCUGCAGGAUGGGGGCCCAGAGGGCUCUUCUGAGGCGGCUGAACCUGGGCAUCCUCCCAGGAGACCCUGCUUGACAACCAUUGUUCACCUUGAAUGGGGGCUGCUCAGCACCCCAGCUUCACAGCAAGCACCUGCUUCUGGGUAGAGGGGGAUCACGUUUGAAAGCCAGCUUUCCAGGCUUUCAUCUCAAACCCAGAAGUUUGGAAAUUAACUGUGAGUUUGAAUCAAAUGGACGAGGUGGGUAUUGAACGACCCCUCCCGUUCCUGGAGGGCUCCCAGCCGGCCCCUCCCUCCUGGGCUGCGGUCACGCCUGGCUGCCUGCGGGGUCUCUAAGUCACCACAAAUAGGACUUCAAAUCUCCAGUUCUCCCUGGGGCCCAGAACUGCCCAGGUGGCCUCUGAAGUUUCCUUGUCUUCUCCUUCUCUGUCCUUUUUCAUUACUAAGAAUAUAUUUUAGCUCUUUCUGCUCUCCCCUCCCCACGCUAACAUGCUUGGCUAGGCACUAGGCAAAAUGUAGAUUUGGGGAGGGAGACGCAAGAGGGAGGAGAUAUGGGGAAAAAUGUGUACGUAUAACUGAUUCACUUUGUUAUACAGCAGAAACUAACACACCACUGUGAAGCAAUUAUACGCCAAUAAAGAUGU